AACGAACGCUGGCGGCAUGCCUAACACAUGCGAGUCGAACGAGACCUUCGGGUCUAGUGGCGCACGGGUGCGUAACGCGUGGGAACCUGCCCUUAGGUUCGGAAUAACUCCCCGACAGGGGUGCUAAUACCGGAUAAUGUCUUCGGACCAAAGAUUUAUCGCCCUUGGAUGGGCCCGCGUUGGAUUAGCUAGUUGGUAGGGUAAAAGCCUACCAAGGCGACGAUCCAUAGCUGGUCUGAGAGGAUGAUCAGCCACACUGGGACUGAGACACGGCCCAGACUCCUACGGGAGGCAGCAGUGGGGAAUAUUGGACAAUGGGCGAAAGCCUGAUCCAGCAAGGCCGCGUGAGUGAUGAAGGCCUUAGGGUUGUAAAGCUCUUUUACCCGGGAUGAUAAUGACAGUACCGGGAGAAUAAGCGCCGGCUAACUCCGUG
rnacentral:rRNA from 1 species